rnacentral:rRNA from 1 species
GUGGGGAAUCUUGCGCAAUGGGCGAAAGCCUGACGCAGCCAUGCCGCGUGAAUGAUGAAGGUCUUAGGAUUGUAAAAUUCUUUCACCGGGGACGAUAAUGACGGUACCCGGAGAAGAAGCUCCGGCUAACUUCGUGCCAGCAGCCGCGGUAAUACGAAGGGGGCUAGCGUUGCUCGGAAUUACUGGGCGUAAAGGGCGCGUAGGCGGACAGCUUAGUCAGAGGUGAAAGCCCAGGGCUCAACCUUGGAAUUGCCUUUGAUACUGGCUGUCUUGAGUGUGGGAGAGGUGAGUGGAACUCCGAGUGUAGAGGUGAAAUUCGUAGAUAUUCGGAAGAACACCAGUGGCGAAGGCGACUCACUGGCCCGUUACUGACGCUGAGGCGCGAAAGCGUGGGGAGCAAACAGGAUUAGAAACCCCGGUAGUCC